rnacentral:lncRNA from 1 species
UACAUUCCUCCCCUGUCUCUCUCUCCCGCUUGGUGUGUCGUUAGUUUCCGCUCGUUCUCGUUUUUCCGCCAGUUCUCGGGCUCCUUAUCUCUUUAUAAAGGCGUUUUUCCCGGACGCGUCCCAAUUCACUAGCUGGGGCAGGGGUCUGCACAGAUCUGAUUGGCAGAGAUUGGCCGUUUGGUGAUCUUACAGCACACGUGAUUGGUCUGUGAGUUUAUUACUGCACCGCAAAAAAGCACGUAAACCAUAAAGAAAGAAAAGUUACGCCGCGUUAAAUAAACACUAUCAGAAUUAAAUCCUUCUCAGUAGUUUAUGGGUUUGGGUCCGGACCCGGACUGUGCUCCGCAUAUUAGUGACCCCUGGUGUAGGUUGUGUUUAAUGUUGAAUGUACUGACGCUCAGAGGAAGUUCAGUAUAGUGUAAUAUAGUAAUACAGCAGGUGGAUCUGAUGAUGACCGGAUGAUGAAGAGCUGUGUUGAGCAGGGUGUCCAUCUCCAGGCGGAUCACACGGUACGGUGACGUGGCUCAGCAGUCUCUCAGUCAGUGUCCCCUGGUCUAAGUGCUUCAGGAGACAUUGUUUACCACUUAACCCCCCCUCUUUCAGCGGCAGCAGCACUCCUGAAUACUUUAUCAGCAAAACCUCAGCAACAGAAAGAAACGCUCAGCUGUCAAUCUCUGGCAACCUGGCCGUCAAGCAGAUCAGAUCAGCUCCUGAGUGGUCCGAUCUCUUCGUCCUCGUCCCCGUCCUCAUCCAGGUCGCAGGGUGUCCUCGUCCUCCUCCACUGUUUGCUUGAUUGUCCUCCGGCUGCUGUUUUAUUUACGGCGUGUUUACGAGACGUCUUGUCCGUCAUACGCCGAACGAUUCCAUCUGAAAAAUCUCAGCAUUUCCUCGGAUUCACACGUGGAGAAAACAUGACACAGAGCUGCUGAGAAAUGGGCCCUGAAUCCAAGCUGACAUCAGGAAACCAUCACCACGUCCUGCGCCCGUGCUCUCCGUCCGUCACCAGGACGAGCCUGAUGGAAUCGAGAUGUCACAGUGCCGUAAGAGCGAGACGCUCGCAGGAGGAGCUCGACUCGCGUCUGCCAGUCUGUAUUUGGGCUCUGAAGGAUCACGGUGAUGUUUGAAGGCUCUGUGAAGCAGUUGGACGUUUUUCUGUUGUUUGUGUUUCUUGUUGAAAAGAAAGUGGAAAUGCAUCAAGCGUUAUCUCCUGACAGCAACUACUGCACUCACAAACUCUUACUUUCAUACGCCAUUAACCCUUUAAAGGGUCAAUCUAAAACCAUAAGAAAGAAAAAAUAUAUAUAAAUAUAUAUAUCUAUCUAUAUAUACACAGUA